GUUUCAAAAUGAAUCUGGGGGGACAUACAAAUACUCAGCUUAUGGCAGAAACACUCCCAUGGGAAAAAUAACACCAAAUUUCAUAUUUAGCUCUCUAGAUUUCUUUCUUCUCUCCCUUCUCCACCUGAUAAUUAUUCUCUAUCUUAUUUUAUCCUUAUACAUUCAAGUAGGUUUUUAUUGUAAAUUUUACUUAGAUUUUCUGGUUUUCUCAGAAUUUGAUCAGAAUUACCUUGUCUACUGCUAUUGAUAGCAGGUAGACAAAAUGAGAAAUGUCAUUCAUCUGCUGAAGCCUUCUCUUAACCUAACCACAUUAUAGCAAACUGAGGUUAACCAGAAUGAGGCACCUUUCUCUCCUUGGCCCUAGGCCCACAUUACAGACCACCACACUAAUUCCAAAGUCCUUGUGUUAAAUUCAGAAUUGCACCUGACUACUAUCAAUAUAAUUUUAAGCAUGUGACAGGAAUGUUCCUCCAAUGGUGAAGAGCACAUGGGUGUGGUUAUUCAUUGAAAUUCUGGAUAUAAGUCACGAUAAAAAAAGGAUUGGUAAUCUGCUAAUGGGCUCUAGGGAGAUCACAGUGAAUUCGGAUUAUAUGUAUCACAUCCAAAUUACAGGGAGAAAGAAGAUACUUUGUUCUUUUUUUUGUGAUUAGUGAUGAGGGCUGAGAAGCCACAAUACUUUCCUCUUUAUAAAGGUUGACUUACUAAAGGUAAAGAGCUAAGUAGACCUCCUAAUUCAAGCAUUUAAAGUGGCAACUGUCAUUUUGCCCGCAAGUGGUUACCUGGUCUAAAGGUAUAUUUUUGUGUAUAGUAGCCAUGUACAGUACUACAAAAGUAACAGGGAGGAAAGAAGGAACUGACACUGAUAUACAUUGAUUGCCACAAUUUAACAGAAAAAAAGUUUAGACUAAUUUACUAAUAUUAUUGUUCUUUGGGGGAAAAAAACUACCUCUGUGUGUAUAUACAAGUACACGCACAAAUAUAUACACAUGUGUUACAUAUAUCUGACAGAUAAUAUUUUCAAAAGGUAUCUUCCACCCAACGUUCUCUUAUGCCAGGUGACCUCGCCAUUCCGCAAUCAAGAGAUGAGUCUAAGUCUUCUCCCCUUGAAUCUGGGCUCAGCUGGCCUUAGUGGUUUGCAUGCAACUAACAGAAUGCAACAAUAAUGAACUUGAGUUAUUUCCA
rnacentral:lncRNA from 1 species